CAAAACACUGCGUGACUAAUUGUUAAGUGAAAUUGCCUUGGAGGCACAGAGGAAAAAAAAUCAGAGGAGUGGUCAAGGAACGUUUGCACAGAAAAAAGCAGGAAACUGAUCACCAGAGGACCAAGCAGCUUACGCAAGCUCACACAACCACCGACUGGCGGGGCAGGAUCCGAACUCAGUCCUGAAGCCUCCCAGGUAGAGAAACUGGGGUACAGAGAAGUUAAGCAAUUUGUCUGAGGUUACACAGCUGGUAAAUGGCAGAGCUGGAAUUUGAACCUGGGUUCCAGAGGCCUCACCCUUCAUCACUUCACUAAACUGUGUCUGUUGAGUGCAGCACACAGACAACAAAGAAGAUGGAGGGUAUGGCCACCAGCACAAUCUGCAAAGCCCCAGCGGAAGUGGGAGAAGUGGUCAUUGGUGCAGCCAGGCUGCAGGGUAUUGCAGAUGAACUUGCAGUGACCAUCCCACAGACAGCAUUUCCCAGCAGGGCGACAAGCAGGAUGUGUAAGACCAGGACAGUGAGCCAUACCUUGCCAACCACGGUGGAAUCGUUCUGCAUUCGGGUCAGGAGCCAGCCCAGGAAUGACCAGUCACUCAUCUAUGGACACAGAAAUCACAAGAAAUUGAAGUGAGGGGACAGGAAGGGAAGGGGACGAAAACAUAAUGCCCCCACAGCCAGAUAUUUGCAAAGCUAUUUCUGGCCCACAGCGAGAGCUCCAGCUCCAUCUGUGCCUGACGCCCAGGCAUGCCACUCGCUGCCUGACAAGGACGGGAAGAACAAGCUGGCAGAGAAAAGGACACUGCAGAAGAAAAGAUGGAAGCAGUGACUCCCAGAAGGAGCCCAGCGCAGCCCAACAUUCACCAAGACAGGCUGCAUGCCUCUAUUACAGUUAGGCUUCCACUGAACUCUUCCUAACUCAACAGGCUUUUGGGCCUCCCAACUGUCUUGGCAUUUUCUUCAGAUCGACGUAGUACCAGGCAUAUUUCUCCCAAGAUGCCACGGUGGAAAUUCAUGACCUAGAUUGUGUUUCUUCCCGAGUCCAGGGUAACAUGUUUUUUGACUACUAUGUCAGGGUUUGAAAGAGACAGGCCUUACAUCCUCCUGUCUCUGUCCAGUGGAUUCUCCUUAAGGCCUCAUAUUGCAACAAUCUCAUUUUACUUUACAUUUCUGCAGCUUCUGACCCUGAGAAUUACUGAAAAAAUUCCCAAGGGUAUAGCUUGUGGGGCAUUUACACCCAUUAUUUCUGUCAACACUCUCCUUUCUGCCUCUCAAAUAAACAUGUAGUUUAUUU